rnacentral:lncRNA from 1 species
UCCCCUCAGUGUGCCCCCUCCAUGUAUCCCCUCACAGCAUGUCCCCUCACAGUGUCCCCCCUCACAGUUCCCUCACAGCGUCUCCCCUCACAGCCCCCUCACUGUGCCCCCUCACAGCGUGUUCCCUCACAGUGUCUCCCCUCAGUCCCCUCAGCAUCCCCCCGCAUUCCCCCCUCUCACUGUCCCCUCCCAGCCUCACCACAGAUUCCCCUUCUCAACGUCCCACUGCGUCACCUCUCAGCCCCUCCAGCACCCUCAGGACCUGCCAGCCCGUGCCCUCCUGCAGGGCUUUGGGGCAACGUUAAGGCCAUGGGGCCUUGUCCCCCCUGUUGCCUGUCUGCCUGUUGUCCCCCCAGAAUGGCCUGCUUCCCUCAGCACACCCCUGCGCCUGUCCUUAUCCUCUGCCCCCUGUAGCCCUGUGCCCCUCACGCCACAGGGCUUGGGGACGCCCCACACAUGCCCUGCCAAAAAACCGCCCCAGUUGGUGCCCCCAGCACCCGAGCCUGGGCACCAGCAGCCGGCGAGAGGCCGCUGCGGACCCACUGAGGGUCCAGCUUCCAGCAGGCCCAGCGUCCCCCGGUCCCUCAGGGCCACCUGUCCCCACCCCGCUGGCUGGCACAGCCGCACACCGGGGCAGCGCUCAGGCACCGGGGGCCCAGCGGGCGGCGGCGCCAGGAAGCGGCUGGGGCUCCUGCCUUUAAAAAUGCCUGCACUCUGUCUAGACAGACUUCCCUGGCUGAAACAGAUCAUGGUGAAAUAUUCCCCUUUCCUGAGCACAUGGAAACAUGGGGUGCCCUGAGGUACACUUGACCGUUCAAGAUGGGAUGAUUUCAGAAGUUUUUGCCUCCCUGCUCUCCGCCAUGUCCCUCUGUCAAACACAGUCUGGUGUGCCAACUUAACCCCAAAUUAAUGGCAGCCCAAGUUAACCUGCUGAGCUGUGAGCUCUGGUGGCUAGCACCGCUCAUGCUCCUGUCUAGUAAGUUCACUGCAGACUCCACCUCUUCACUGAAUGUCCAUCUCCUAGAAAGACCUCAUCCUUCCUGCUGCAGCUGGCGCCUCAGCCCAUUCUUCCAUUCACUCCACGAACCUCAGAGCAGCGACAUAUUAGUAAUUUCCAUGAACCGUUGCCCCAAGGUGGGGGAUUGGGUGCUUGCCUGUCCCUUGAAAGAUAUCUUCAGAUUCCUCCUCGUCCCUUUCUGUCCUCUGCCCUUUCCAUGAAGGCUUUUACAGAGACAAGAUCAAGGGCUCACCACAUUUUACCCCACUAAGCAUUGCUCUGUUUGAUCUAAUGCACCAUGUAUUAACCUACUUGGAUAGACUGCAUAUUUCUUUUGUGGAAGUAAAUUCAUUACUGUAAAUUUCAUAGUUCAGCUGUUCUUCUCUCUCUGCAUAUAGCUUCUUUUUCUACUGGUAGCACUGCUCACAGCAACACAGUGACUUCCACGUAAGUGUCUAAGACGACAUUUGGAAAUGUCCUCCUUGUGUUCUGCCUGACAGUCCUUGUUUUCUGCUGGAAAAAAAAAAAUGUGAUGGCCCCAUGAAAAGUCUGCCUGAGCUCUCAGUCUCACCAUCAUCCUGUUAGUCACCCGUGUGCAAAAUUCUGCUGAGCCUUUGCAAAGCCAGGCCAUGGGGACACUGACUGCGUUGUUCCCCUGCUCUGGGCAUUGUCCUGGCUGAUGCACGGCUCUGCCGCUGCUGCUGCUUCACUGAGCCUCACCUGGCCCUCCUGCCUCAGCCCUCUCCUUUAGAGGAACUCGUGGUGCUGGUCGUGGCUCUGGUGCAAGACCUCUGGUUAUCCCUAAGAGCUCCAUUCCUGGAAAAUUCUCUCUGCCUUGUCAAGGGCAUCAGCCCACCAGCUUUUUGCUCUGGGCUCAACUCCUCCCACCUGCUAAUAAACUUAGCAGAGACUCUAUUGAACUCCUAGGG